rnacentral:rRNA from 1 species
AUGAACGCUGGCGGCGUGCCUAAUACAUGCAAGUCGAGCGAACGGACGAGAAGCUUGCUUCUCUGAUGUUAGCGGCGGACGGGUGAGUAACACGUGGAUAACCUACCUAUAAGACUGGGAUAACUUCGGGAAACCGGAGCUAAUACCGGGUAAUAUUUUGAACCGCAUGGUUCAAAAGUGAAAGACGGUCUUGCUGUCACUUAUAGAUGGAUCCGCGCUGCAUUAGCUAGUUGGUAAGGUAACGGCUUACCAAGGCAACGAUGCAUAGCCGACCUGAGAGGGUGAUCGGCCACACUGGAACUGAGACACGGUCCAGACUCCUACGGGAGGCAGCAGUAGGGAAUCUUCCGCAAUGGGCGAAAGCCUGACGGAGCAACGCCGCGUGAGUGAUGAAGGUCUUCGGAUCGUAAAACUCUGUUAUUAGAGAAGAACAUAUGUGUAAGUAACUGUGCACAUCUUGACGGUACCUAAUCAGAAAGCCACGGCUAACUACGUG